rnacentral:rRNA from 1 species
AACGAACGCUGGCGGCGUGGAUAAGACAUGCAAGUCGAACGAGGAAAUUGAAUAGCUUGCUAAUUAAUUUCCUAGUGGCGAACGGGUUAGUAACACGUGAGCAACCUGCCCUGAAGCGGGGGAUAGUCCUGGGAAACCGGGUUUAAUACCGCAUGUGACCUACGGGUUAAAGGUGCCUUCGGGUGCCGCUUCAGGAUGGGCUCGCGUCCUAUCAGCUAGUUGGUGAGGUAACGGCUCACCAAGGCGAUGACGGGUAGCUGGUCUGAGAGGACGAUCAGCAACACUGGAACUGAGACACGGUCCAGACACCUACGGGUGGCAGCAGUCGAGAAUCAUUCACGAUGGACGAAAGUCUGAUGGUGCAACGCCGCGUGGAGGAUGAAGGCCCUAGGGUCGUAAACUCCUGUCAUAUGAGAGUAAGGCAUAGUUGGUUAAGAGCUUGCUAUGUUUGAUAGUAUCAUAAGAGGAAGGGACGGCUAACUUCGUGCCAGCAGCCGCGGUAAUACGAAGGUCCCGAGCGUUGUUCGGAAUCACUGGGCGUAAAGGGAGCGUAGGCGGUUAGGUAAGUCAGAUGUGAAAUCCCGGGGCUCAACCCCGGAACUGCAUCCGAUACUGCCUGACUUGAGUAAUGGAGGGGUAACUGGAAUUCUCGGUGUAGCAGUGAAAUGCGUGGAUAUCGAGAGGAAGACCAACGGCGAAAGCAGGUUACUGGACAUUUACUGACGCUGAGGCUCGAAGGCCAGGGUAGCGAAAGGGAUUAGAUACCCCUGUAGUCCUGGCAGUAAACGAUGUGCGCUUGGUGUGGGCGGGUUCGACCCCGUCCGUGCCGGAGCUAACGCGUUAAGCGCACCGCCUGGGGAGUACGGUCGCAAGACUAAAACUCAAAGAAAUUGACGGGGACCCGCACAAGCGGUGGAGUAUGUGGCUUAAUUCGAUGCAACGCGAAGAACCUUACCUGGGCUUGACAUGCAUUGCUAAUUCCGUGAAACCGGAUGAGUCUUCGGACGCCUUGCGCAGGUGCUGCAUGGCCGUCGUCAGCUCGUGUCGUGAGAUGUUCGGUUAAGUC